GACGGUUCCGACGGUUCCGGACGGUUCCGAUGGUUCCGGACGGUUCCGGACGGUUCCGGACGGUUCCAGGUGGAACUAACGAUUCCUUUUCUUCGGAAUCGGAACUGGAAUGACACCGGUCGGAACCGGAUCGGAAUCGUGGGUCCGUUCCAGGGAACCCAUCACUAGUCUCGUCGUGUUUUCGGGAGUUCCUCUAUUCUUGUAUUUGCUCUUUUCUCUCUUGAUUUUGCUUUGCUUCUCUAUAUGUCCGUAGACUCUUCGCGUUGUGUGGUGGUAUGUUUGAGUGUAACAACGGUACCUUUCGCUGCAUCGUUGAAGGGGGCGGGAGUCGAGUGUAUUGUAUUGUGUAUCAGCUGUGAUCUGUGCGUGUGAAAACUUUUUCGUUGUGCUGAAACGGAUGAAUGAGAGUAAGAUUAGAAACAGAAUGCCGUGUUCAUGUAUACCACAGCCUGAAGACUGAACCACCAGACUUGCUCAGAGCAGGAAUGAAGUACACGUAAUAUAAAUUGGAGCGUGGUACGCUUGCGCGUAGGAGAUCAUGGUGUGGUUAAGAAGAAAAAAAGAAGCAGUGCUAUAGUUGUACUAGACGCUGGAAUGGCUUGUAUUGGUUGAACUUUUCUUAUUUUUCAGAUUCAAAAAUCUGUUUGCUCUACGAAGUCGAUGAGUGCAUCUAAUCAGUUCUGUAGCGCCAUGGUGAACGUUUGGAGGUGUUGGCACGGAAGACGGAGCGGGAAAAGGUUCACGACAACUAUGCGGUGAGGAGGAUAUCAACGGAUUGUGCAUUUACAGUUAGCGGGUGAGCCCACGCUGUACCUCGUAGGAGAACCUGGCCAUGGGUAUCGGAGAAUGCAUACCGUAUGCCGGAGACGUGCUUGGCCUUGAACACUGACUCUGCUCGAUCACGGAUUCCAAAUUGGUCAUUACGUUACCGGCGGCUUGCCAGCAAUCAGCAUUGGGUGUUCUUUUUCCGUUCAGUUCUUCCUUCCGUCUUUCUGUGUAUAAAGUGCCUUCCAUUAACAUCUCCCGACAACAAGUUGGAGUUGGUUCUAGCACGGAUUAUGAUGGUGUUGUUGCUGAAGAGGAAUGUUGUGUUGCCUGGUUGCACUGGACAGGAUGGUUCACACAGUGUAGUCGAUCUCCUGUUGGUGUCGAUUGUUCCCUUCGAGCCGGAGGCCCAUCCCGGCCGCUCAGAGCGAUAUUGUUAGAUGCUAGAAAUACAAGAUGCUAGAAAUAUAAAAUGGUUACUUAACAUGUUAAUACAGAAGAGGUGAUUAUAUAGGUUAUAGAAUUACGGCUUUUACUUACCAAUAAAAACAUGAACGAGCGAAAUGCAUCACGUACAUAUUGCGCAGCUGAAACAGGCUAAGAAAUGCUCCAGUGUCGUCCCCAUUUUUGUCCGGAACAUGGUCGUCGUGAAGAUUAAUGUAGUAACGGUUUUUGAAGGCAUAUCCUGAGCCGAUCCCUAUGACGAUCGAAAGAUCUGCAUCCUUUUGUAUUGACGAAAUCAUUGCCUGCUCAAAUUGCUCAAAACAAAUCGCACGACUUGAAACCUAGUAAAAUUUUCCGCAACAUUUAUUGGCGGAGAAGAGAUUUGGAUCAACAAUCACACAGUGAAUAGAACGAAGUCGUCAACCUCUCCCUCUCUUCUAAUCAAAUCACGCAUGAACUCUUACCCCUUCUCCAUGCGCAGCCAGAUCAAAAAUCAGCGAUCAACGAUACAGGGCCGGGCCUAUUCACUUUGCGAUGUGAACGGCAUAUUUUGUACGAAGUGUUUCAAUUGGUUAUAUACAUUUUUUCGACAGAACCUACAGCCUUGACAAUAAAAUCAUAUCGAAAACCAUGUGGAAGAAAUUGAAAAACUAAAAACACUUCGGGAUUGAAUUUAAAUAUUCGAACGAAUUGAAAAAAACAAUAAUGACGGUAUAAUAUAUACCGUUCGUAUCGUAAAGUAACGAGACAAACCCUGUACGAGUGCACACAUGCCCAUACACAUAUUCACCCAAACAAGGUGAAUCUAUAGGCGUAAGCGAGAUGGGUUUAAUAAUAAAAGGAGAGCAAAAUGUAAACAUUAAGGUCAUCAUGAACCAAACUUGAGUGUGUGACAAAUCAUCCAUGAGUGCGAACGGAAGAGGUGUAUAAAUUGAAAGAGAGGGGGAUAUUUAUCCUCGAAAAUUUCCCCUUGGGUACCCGUAGAAAAGUAGUCAGCCUUAAGUACGGGGAGGCGGUCUGGAUGGGAUUUGAACCCCGGCCCUGCCAUGUGAAGACCGGCGCCGCUGUCGCCUCGGCCACCGGACCGCCCCGUUUAUCACACAUUAUGUUUAUCACACAUUAUUUCUCAUUAUUUUACAGGCAUGUAAAGGUUCCUGAGUACAGCAAAUCCCCGUAGUACGCUAAUGUUUGGGACCGAACUCUCGCACGUAUCUCGUAUUUUCGCGUACAUCGAAUUUCCUUUGACAUUUUGUUCAUACAAGUUAUUGCGGAACGCAGAGUUAGCAUGUGCACCGAAGACAGCGCGUGCACCGUCCAUUAACUCCACCAGCACGUGGCUUGCAGUAUCAGCAGAAUCGCCUACCGUGAGAACGCGUAACGCACAAUCAGCAAUAUCGGCGUAACGCACGAUCGGCAAUAUCGGCGUAACAGGAAGCGGCCAGCUACCGUGAGAAGGCGCAACGCACCAUCAGCAAUAUCGGCGUUCCCGGCAACCGGCCAGCAGCAACGCGUCACCUGGAUUCAUCAGUUCUAGUUUGGCAGCACUUGGGAACAGUUCGGUUCGGUUCGGUUCGGUUCGUUAUCGGUUAAAGUAGUUAGUAAUAAAGAACCAAUCUUUUUUAAAAAGACCCAACAAGUGUUAGACUUGUAACUGGCGCCCGAAUAGGGACCUUCGCAGUAAACGUAUAAGUUCACGGUAGUGAAAAAGCCAGCUUCAGCUGUCCCUCAAGCGGAAUUUAUCGCCCGGUCCAGAGCACCAUCGCCGUAUAACCAGCGACUUUUGACAAUAGAGCGCGAAGAGCUGCACUGCAACGAAGGUUUCCAGCAUCCUCGUUUCCCGCAUACUACGAGGAUACAAGCUCAACAGCGAUGCGAAAGCAUUUCCUCAUCGUGAGAUUAACUUGGUAAAUAUAACUAACAUACUAACUUGAUCCGAAAAUCAAACAUCCGAAAAAGUGUUUACCAGUGCGCUAGAUUAGAUACUCACCCCAA